rnacentral:lncRNA from 1 species
CCACGCCGACCCGGGGGCACCGGCAGAGGAGCGGGCCCAGCGCGGGCUCUAAGCUCCAGGCAAAGGCGCGGUGGCCCACGCCUGUAAUCUCAGCACUCGGGAGGCUAAGGCAGGAGGACUGCGGAGAGUUCCGGGAGAGUCUGGCCACAUAGUGAGUUCAAGGCCAGCCUUGACUACAUAGCGAGACCUGCCUCUGUUCUUCCGCGUGGUCCGGCUCAGAACUCGCGCUACUCGAAGCUGGAAAAGGCAGACAUCCUGGAAAUGACCGUGCACUUCCUGCAGGAGCUUCCGGCGUUUCCCUACCCCGCGACUGCCCCAGCGCCCACAGACAGCUACCGCGAAGGCUACCGCGCCUGCCUGGCGCGCCUGGCUUGCGUGCUGCCGACCUGCGGCGUCCUGGAGCCG